UCCUCUCUCUUUUGUCCCCAU
rnacentral:sRNA from 1 species